rnacentral:lncRNA from 1 species
AUCACUCCAGUUGCUUCAGGAUGAUGGAUAAAAUAGUAAGACCAGUGAAUUUCAUGAGCAUGAACCCACUGCUGCAUUUCUUUAGCCAUAAAGUGAGUCCCUUGGUCAGAGGCAAUGUUAUGUGGAAUACCAUGAUGGUGGAUAAGGCGUUCUGUGAGUCCAUAGAUAGCAGUCUUGGCAGAAUAAUUGUGUGCAGGAUAGGCAAACCUAUAUCCAGAGUAAGUGUCUAUUCCAGUGAGGAAAAACCUCUGCUCUUUCCAUGAUGGAAGAGGUCCAAUACAAUCAACCUGCCACCAGGUGGCUGGCUGAUUACCCCGAAGAAUGGUGCCAUAUGGAGGGCUUAGUGUUGGUCUCUGCUGCUGGCAAGUUGGUCACUCAGCAAUGGCCAUAGC